GACAGAGGUUGCAAGCGUUGUUCGGAAUCAUUGGGCGUAAAGCGCACGUAGGCGGUCAUGUAAGUCAGAUGUGAAAUCCCAGGGCUUAACCCUGGAAGUGCAUCUGAUACUGCAUGACUUGAGUCCCGGAGAGGGUGGUGGAAUUCCCGGUGUAGAGGUGAAAUUCGUAGAUAUCAGGAGGAACACCGGUGGCGAAGGCGACCACCUGGACGGAGACUGACGCUGAGGUGCGAAAGCGUGGGGAGCAAACAGG
rnacentral:rRNA from 1 species